AGUAGCAGCAGCAUCAUCAUCACUGCCACCGACCAAUCAUCAUCUUCAUCGUGGCGUCGUCCAUCCACACAAGCGAUGGGCGCGAGAGAGGCCACUGGAGUUCAUCGGCAAGCGUCGACGCAACACUAUGGACUACACAGACGAGGGGGAAAGAAGGAGUGCAUGAAAAAAGUAUCUUACUUUUGUACGUGCAGAAGAGCACCGCCGCCCCUAAGAAAGCGCCCAAGUACUGAGCCACCAUGUAAUGCACCACUUUUUUCCACUGACAUUUUCCGAUGGUCGCCAUGGCAAUCGUAAUGGAAGGGUUCAAGUGGGCUCCUGCAGCAAAUAAGGAAGACACGAAUAAUAUUUUGAUUUUCCUGGACAAAAUGAAGCAAACGGACACGGUUCUGAGAGAACGUAAAGCUAUCUCAAAGGAACAAGUGAAAGAAAGGCUUACCUGAAGCCCCACCUGCGACCAGUACAGCGAGUGCUAGUGCCAACCCCCAACCCCAGAAGCCGACUGCGUAGCCAAUGUUUCCAGUCUUGUCGAAUUUCAAUGCCGCCAAAACGCCGGUGCCAAACAACUGCAAGAACACAAUGUUGUCAUCAACCACAGUAAGCAGCACAAACACAUAAAUUCACUCACAUUGGAAGACUCAAUCAACGAGAACCAUAAUUUAAUAAACAAAUAUUUUAAGCGUUAAAUUCACGCAUCUAUGGUAGCCAAGCAGAAAUUUACCGCUGUAUCGAUGCCCCCAAGGAUUAUAAAACCACUCCUCAAGGAAAUAAACUUUUCUCGCUUUUUUUUU